UACGAAGGGGGCUAGCGUUGCUCGGAAUUACUGGGCGUAAAGCGCACGUAGGCGGCUUUCUAAGUCGGGGGUGAAAUCCUGGAGCUCAACUCCAGAACUGCCUUCGAUACUGGAAAGCUCGAGUCCGGGAGAGGUGAGUGGAACUGCGAGUGUAGAGGUGAAAUUCGUAGAUAUUCGCAAGAACACCAGUGGCGAAGGCGGCUCACUGGCCCGGUACUGACGCUGAGGAGCGAAAGCAUGGGGAGCGAACAGG
rnacentral:rRNA from 1 species